UAGGCUGAAGCCCUCUGGAUUGGGUGUUCGGUUGUUAAUCGAAGGUUUGCGGGAUCAAGGCCCGCCGGUCUAG
rnacentral:tRNA from 1 species